UGUUCAUGUUUGUAAAAUUACAUAUUUAUAUAUAUAUAAGUAUUUAAAAUAUAAUGCAAUUUAUUUACAUAUUGGAUUUUUCUCAUUUCUCCACACAAUCUCUUGUCUCUCUGUCUCUGUCUCUCUCUCUCAGGCACACACAAACACACACUCUCACACACAUGCACACACACACACUCUCUCUCUCUCUCUCUCACACAUACACACACAGAGACAGGAGAUUUUUUAUUAGUGGCUUUAUACAAUACAUAACACAAUGCCCUUUACAGAAGCACUGAAUAAUCUUGACAAUUACAAAUGGAUUCCUUUGAAAUAUUGUAUGAACAUUAAACCAAAAAAAUUUAUUUGUGUUAAGAAUAGGGUAACAAAUAUGAAAGUGAUUUUAAUAAAGGUCUUCCUAAAUUUUGCUAAUCAAUGUAUGCAUCAUAGAGGGGUAUUAUCUUCCUCAAUCACCACUAGGAGAUUAGGAGAAAAAAAGAAUAGUGACUGAACAGACGUGUAAGAAUGAUACACAAAACCUCAUAGUAAAAGUGGAAAAGAAGAAACAUUUUGUAAACCUGAAAUGUCUUGGAAUAUAAUUUUCCAUGUGGAAUCUGGCUCAAAUGGCAUGUCAGAUGCCAACUGGAGCAGCCACAGGCAUGUGAGCUACAGCACUGUCUAAAGGAUGCCACUAGUCUCAAUAUAUUCCCAGUAACAGUGAGUUGGUGGAAAGAGCUGUUCUGGCCUAGUAACUGAAGGCAACUACCAGGCAGUUAAAUGACAGGGCUUCAUGACUGAGACUGCUAUUGAAAAAGAAGAAGGUUUGUGUGUCUGAUGGGUGAACUCAUGCAAUAAUACUAAUAUGGGGGCGGGCAUGGGCCGGGGGAGUUGAAAAUGAGAAAAAGCAUUAUAUGAAGAUAUCAAGCAAUCAAUGUGAAUAAGAUAGACUCAGAGUAGCAAAAUGAAAAGUAACAAGGAAUACAAGAACAGAAGUCUAGGUGAGACUUCAGUACAUGAUUUAAGACAGAAAUCUUACACUUUUAAUCAAAAUGUUGCAAUAUUAAGAGUUGGAAGAAAAAAUGUACCUUGUUUUGUGCUGCUAAAAGAAAUAUCUCAGUUUUCAUAACUGGCUCUACAGACUUCCAUCACUUUCUAAAUUGGUAAUGCACAAACAAAAAUGGCAAGGAAUUUAUUCACUUAUUUAUUUAUUUAUUUAGAGACAAGGUCUCCUGCUGUUGCCCAGGCUGGAGUGCAGCAGCUGCAAUCAGGGCUCACUACAGCCUCAACCCCUCUGCUCAAGCGAUCCUCUCACCUCAGUCUCCUCAGUAGCUGGGACCACGGGCAUACAUCACCAUACCCAGCUAAUUUUUCAUUUUUUGUAGAGACAAGGUCUCAUUAUGUUGCCUGGGCUAGUCUUGAA
rnacentral:lncRNA from 1 species